rnacentral:rRNA from 1 species
UAACAAGGAUUCCCCUAGUAACUGCGAGUGAAGCGGGAUGAGCUCAAAUUUAAAAUCUGGCGGUCUCUGGCCGUCCGAGUUGUAAUCUGGAGAAGCGUUUUCCGCGUCGGACCGUGUACAAGUCUCUUGGAACAGAGCGUCAUAGAGGGUGAGAAUCCCGUCCAUGACACGGACUGCCGAUGCUUUGUGAUACGCUCUCAAAGAGUCGAGUUGUUUGGGAAUGCAGCUCAAAAUGGGUGGUAAAUUCCAUCUAAAGCUAAAUAUUGGCGAGAGACCGAUAGCGAACAAGUACCGUGAGGGAAAGAUGAAAAGCACUUUGGAAAGAGAGUUAAACAGUACGUGAAAUUGUUGAAAGGGAAACGCUUGAAGUCAGUCGCGUUGUCCGGGACUCAGCCUGGCUAUAUGCUUGGUGUAUUUCCCGUUCGACGGGUCAACAUCGAUUUUGACCGGCGGAUAAAGGCGGGGGGAAUGUGGCACCUUCGGGUGUGUUAUAGCCCUCUGUUGUAUGCGUCGAUUGGGAUCGAGGACCGCAGCGCGCCCUCGUGGCCGGGAGGUACGCCUCCACGUUACGCGCUUAGGAUGUUGGCAUAAUGGCUUUAAGCGAC